rnacentral:rRNA from 1 species
AUGAAUUGUUUGGCCUGGAACUGUCGGGGACUGGGGUUGGACUCGACAGUUGGCGAGCUACAUGACCUGGUUAGGUCCUACAACCCAGUGGUGGUAUUUCUCAGUGAGACAAAGAAAAAGGCGAGAGCAAUGGAGAAACUUAAAUGGAGCCUAGGGUUUAGGCAUGGUGUUGCUGUGGAUUGUAAUGGACUUAGUGGAGGUUUGGCCUUGUGGUGGAGGGAUAGUGUGCAAGUAACAUGUAGACCGUGGUGCCAAUAUUUCAUUGAUGCGGAGGUUAUUUUUGAAGGGAAAACCUAUAGAUUCACUGGAUUCUAUGGGGAGCCCAAGACAGAGUUAAGGGAGAAGUCGUGGGAUGCACUCUCAUAUUUGAAGGCCCAGGACAGUUUGCCAUGGCUAUGUGUCGGUGAUUUCAACGAGAUUCUAGUACGAGUUGAACAGAAAAGGAGGGAACCCCAAAAGCUUUUUACAAAUGGAUAG